rnacentral:rRNA from 1 species
GACGAACGCUGGCGGCGUGCUUAACACAUGCAAGUCGAACGAAGUGGCGAACGGGUGAGUAACGCGUAAUCAACCUGCCCUUCAGAGGGGGACAACAGUUGGAACCGACUGCUAAUACCGCAUACUGAAGAGGGGGAUUGCGUUGGAUUAGCUCGUUGGAGGGGUAAUGGCCCACCAAGGCGAUGAUAAGUAGCCGGUCUGAGAGGGAGAACGGCCACAUUGGGACUGGGGCAAGGCUCAGGCUCCUAAGGGAGGCAGCAGUGGGGGAACAUUCGAAAUUGACGAAAAGCUGACGGAGCAACGGCGGGGGGGUGGUGACGGCCUUCGGGUUGUAAAACUAUGUUAAGCGGGGAGCGGUACCGGAAGAGAAAGCAACGGCUAACUACGUGCCAGCAGCCGCGGUAAUAC